AACGAACGCUGGCGGCAUGCCUAACACAUGCAAGUCGAACGAGACCUUCGGGUCUAGUGGCGCACGGGUGCGUAACACGUUGGAAUCUGCCCUUUGCUUCGGAAUAACAUUUAGAAAUGACUGCUAAUACCGGAUGAUGUCGAAAGACCAAAGAUUUAUCGGCAAAGGAUGAGCCCGCGUAGGAUUAGGUAGUUGGUGGGGUAAAGGCCUACCAAGCCGACGAUCCUUAGCUGGUCUGAGAGGAUGAUCAGCCACACUGGGACUGAGACACGGCCCAGACUCAUACGGGAGGCAGCAGUGGGGAAUAUUGGACAAUGGGCGAAAGGCUGAACCAGCAAUGCCGCGUGAGUGAUGAAGGCCUUAGGGUUGUAAAGCUAUUUUACCAGGGAUGAUAAUGACAGUACCUGGAGAAUAAGCUCCGGCUAACUCCGUG
rnacentral:rRNA from 1 species